GGUAGUGGCUCAGCGGUAGAGCGUUUGCCUAGCGUGUUCGAGCCCUGGGUUCGAGCCUCAGCACCA
rnacentral:tRNA from 1 species